GCGGGCAAAGCCGCGCCCAAAAAUAGCCGCCCGACGGCCGGGGCGCCAAGUUUGUCCAGCGGAAAAAGGCCACAAAAACGGGUGGGCUAUAGCCUUGGGGGGUGGGGCCGGCCUACUUCGUCCGCCGGACUCGGAAUGCCGCGAGACUUUAAGGGGCCUCCGUGUGUCAAAAAUAGGCCGCGGGCAAAGCCGCGCGCAAAAAUAACCGCCCGACGGCCGGGGCGCCAAGUUUGUCCAGCGGAAAAAGGCCACAAAAACGGGUGGGCUAUAGCCUUGGGGGGUGGGGCCGGCCUACUUCGUCCGCCGGACUUGGAAUGCCGCGAGACUUUGCGAGGGGCCUCUGUGUGCCAAAAAUAGGCUGCGGGCAAAGCCGCGUCCAAAAAUAACCCCCCGAAGGCCGAGGCGCCCAGUUCGUCCAGCGGAAAAAGGCCACAAAACGGGUGGGCUAUAGCCUUGGGGGGUGGGGCUGGCCAACUUCGUCCGCCGGACUCGGAAUGCCGCGAGACUUUGCGAGGGGCCUCCGUGUGCCAAAAAUAGGCCGCGGACAAAGCCGCGCCCAAAACUAACCGCCCGACGGCGGGGGCGCCAAGUUCGUCCAGCGGAAAAAGGCCACAAAAACGGGUGGGCUAUAGCCUUGGGGGGUGAUGAUGGCCAACUUCGUCCGCCCGACUCGGAAUGCCGUGAGACUUUGUGAGGGGCCUCUGUGUGCCAAAAAUAGGCCGCGGUCAAAGCAGCGGCCAAAAUUAACCACCCGAACGCCGGGGCGCCAAGUUCGUCCAGCGGAAAAAGGCCACAAAAACGGGUGGGCUAUAGCCUUGGGGGGUGAUGCUGGCCAACUUCGUCCGCCGGACUCGGAAUGCCACGAGACUUUGUGAGGGGCCUCUAUGUGCCAAAAAUAGGCCGCGGGCAAAGCCGCGCAUGAAAAUAACCGCCCGACGUCCGGGGCGCCAAGUUCGUCCAGCGGAAAAAGGCCACAAAAACGGGUGGGCUAUAGCCUUGGGGGGUGAUGCUGGCCAACUUCGUCCGCCGGACUCGGAAUGCCGCGAGACUUUGCGAGGGGCCUCUGUGUGCCAAAAAUAGGCCGCGGGCAAAGCCGCGCACGAAAAUAACCGCCCGACGUCCGGGGCGCCAAGUUCGUCCAGCGGAAAAAGGCCACAAAAACGGGUGGGCUAUAGCCUUGGGGGGUGAGGCUGGCCAACUUCGUCCAACGGAUUCGGAAUGCCGCGAGACUUUGCGAGGGGCCUCCGUGUGCCAAAAAUAGGCCGCGGGUAAAGCCGCGCCCAAAAAUAACGGCCCGAAGGCCGGGGCGCCAAGUUCGUCCCGCGGAAAAAGGCCAUAAAAACGGGUGGGCUAUAGCCUUGGCGGGUGGGGUGGCCAACUUCGUCCGCCGGACUCGGAAUGCCGCGAGACUUUGCGAGGGGCUUCCGUGUGCCAAAAAUAGGCCGCGGGCAAAGCCGCGCCCAAAAAUAACCGCCCGAAGGCCGGGGCGCCAAGUUCGUCCAGCGGAAAAAGGCCACAAAAACGGGUGGGCUUUAGCCUUGGGGGGUGGGGCGGGCCAAAUUCNNNNNNNNNNNNNNNNNNNNNNNNNNNNNNNNNNNNNNNNNNNNNNNNNNNNNNNNNNNNNNNNNNNNNNNNNNNNNNNNNNNNNNNNNNNNNNNNNNNNUGUGUCAAAAUAGGCCGCGGGCAAAGCGCGCCCAAAAAUAACCGCCGACGGCCGGGGCGCCAAGUCGUCCAGCGGAAAAAGGCCACAAAAACGGGUGGGCUAUAGCUUGGGGGUGGGGCCGGGCUACUUCGUCCGCCAGACUCGGAAUGCCGCGAGACUUUAAGGGGCCUCCGUGUGUCAAAAAUAGGCCGCGGGCAAAGCCGCGCGCAAAAAUAACCGCCCGACGGCCGGGGCGCCAAGUUUGUCCAGCGGAAAAAGGCCACAAAAACGGGUGGGCUAUAGCCUUGGGGGGGGGGGCCGGCCUAUUUCUUCCGCCGGACUUGGAAUGCCGCGAGACUUUGCGAGGGGCCUCUGUGUGCCAAAAAUAGGCUGCGAGCAAAGCCGCGUCCAAAAAUAACCGCCCGAAGGCCGGGGCGCCCAGUUCGUCCAGCGGAAAAAGGCCACAAAACGGGUGGGCUAUAGCCUUGGGGGGUGGGGCUGGCCAACUUCGUCCGCCGGACUCGGAAUGCCGUGAGACUUUGCGAGGGGCCUCCGUGUGCCAAAAAUAGGCCGCGGACAAAGCCGCGCCCAAAACUAACCGCCCGACGGCGGGGGCGCCAAGUUCGUCCAGCCGAAAAAGGCCACAAAAACGGGGGGGCUAUAGCCUUGGGGGGUGAUGAUGGCCAACUUCGUCCGCCCGACUCGGAAUGCCGCGAGACUUUGUGAGGGGCCUCUGUGUGCCAAAAAUAGGCCGCGGUCAAAGCAGCGCCCGAAAUUAACCACCCGAACGCCGGGGCGCCAAGUUCGUCCAGCGGAAAAAGGCCACAAAAACGGGUGGGCUAUAGCCUUGGGGGGUGAUGCUGGCCAACUUCGUCCGCCGGACUCGGAAUGCCGCGAGACUUUGCGAGGGGCCUCUGUGUGCCAAAAAUAGGCCGCGGGCAAAGCCGCGCAUGAAAAUAACCGCCCGACGUCCGGGGCGCCAAGUUCGUCCCGCGGAAAAAGGCUACAAAAACGGGUGGGCUAUAGCCUUGGGGGGUGAGGCUGGCCAACUUCGUCCAACGGAUUCGGAAUGCCGCGAGACUUUGCGAGGGCCCUCCGUGUGCCAAAAAUAGGCCGCGGGUAAAGCCGCGCCCAAAAAUAACGGCCCGAAGGCCGGGGCGCCAAGUUCGUCCCGCGGAAAAAGGCCAUAAAAACGGGUGGGCUAUAGCCUUGGCGGGUGGGGUGGCCUACUUCGUCCGCCGGACUCGGAAUGCAGCGAGACUUUGCGAGGGGCUUCCGUGUGCCAAAAAUAGGCUGCGGGCAAUGCCGCGCCCAAAAAUAACCGCCCGAAGGCCGGGGCGCCAAGUUCGUCCAGCGGAAAAAUGCCACAAAAACGGGUGGGCUUUAGCCUUGGGGGGUGGGGCGGGCCAAAUUCGUCCGCCGGACUCGGAAUGCCACGAGACUUUAAGGGGCCUCCGUGUGUCAAACAUAGGCCACGGGCAAAGCCGCGCCCAAAAAUAACCGCCCGACGGCCGGGGCGCCAAGUUCGUCCAGCGGAAAAAGGCCACAAAAACGGGUGGGCUAUAGCCUUGGGGGGUGGGGCGGGCCAAAUUCGUCCGCCGGACUCGGAAUGCCGCGAGACUUUAAGGGGCCUCCGUGUGUCAAAAAUAGGCCGCGGGCAAAGCCGCGCCCAAAAAUAACCGCCCGACGGCCGGGGCGCCAAGUUCGUCCAGCGGAAAAAGGCCACAAAAACGGGUGGGCUAUAGCCUUGGGGGGUGGGGCCGGCCAACUUCGUCCGCCGGACUCGGAAUGCCGCGAGACUUUAAGGGGCCUCCGUGUGUCAAAAAUGGAGCCGCGGGCAAAGCCGCCCCCAAAAAUAACCGCCCGACGGCCGGGGCGCCAAGUUCGUCCAGCGGAAAAAGGCCACAAAAA
rnacentral:lncRNA from 1 species